rnacentral:rRNA from 1 species
AACACCGCGUGAGGGAAGAAGGCCUCGGGUUGUAACCUCUUUGUUAGGAAGAAUAAUGACGGUACCUAAUGAAUAAGUCACGGCUAACUACGUGCCAGCAGCUGCGGUAAUACGUAGGUGGCAAGCGUUAUCCGGAUUCACUGGGCGUAAAGAGCGCGUAGGUGGUCCUUCAAGUCAGAUGUGAAAAAUCCCGGCUUAACUGGGAUGGGUCAUCUGAUACUGCUGGACUUGAGGAUGGUAGAGGGAGGUGGAAUUCCCGGUGUAGUGGUGAAAUGCGUAGAUAUCGGGAGGAACACCAGUGGCGAAAGCGACCUCCUAGGCCAUUCCUGACACUGAGGCGCGAAAGCGUGGGGAGCGAACAGGAUCAGAUACCCUGGUAGUCCACGCCCUAAACUGUGGAAACUAGGUACAGGGAGUAUCGACCCUUCCUGCGCCGUAGCUAACGCGUUAAGUUUCCCGCCUGGGGACUACGGUCGCAAGACUA